rnacentral:piRNA from 1 species
UUAAAAGGGAAACUGUUGCC